GUCCACGCUGUAAACGAUGUCUAUUUGAAGGUUGUUCCCUUGAGGAGUGGCUUUCGGAGCUAACGCGUUAAAUCGACCGCCUGGGGAGUACGGCCGCAAGGUUAAAACUCAAAUGAAUUGACGGGGGCCCGCACAAGCGGUGGAGCAUGUGGUUUAAUUCGAUGCAACGCGAAGAACCUUACCUACUCUUGACAUCCACAGAAUCUGCUAGAGAUAGUGGAGUGCCUUCGGGAACUGUGAGACAGGUGCUGCAUGGCUGUCGU
rnacentral:rRNA from 1 species